rnacentral:rRNA from 1 species
UACGUAGGGGGCAAGCGUUGUCCGGAUUUAUUGGGCGUAAAGAGCGUGUAGGCGGCCACACAGGUCAGCUGUGAAAACUCGAGGCUCAACCUCGAGACGUCGGUUGAAACCGUAUGGCUAGAGUCCGGAAGAGGAGAGUGGAAUUCCCGGUGUAGCGGUGAAAUGCGCAGAUAUCGGGAAGAACACCUAUGGCGAAGGCAGGUCUCUGGGCUGACACUGACGCUCAUGCACGAAAGCGUGGGGAGCAAACAGG